rnacentral:tRNA from 1 species
GGGCCGUAGCUCAGCUGGGAGAGCGCUUGAAUGGCAUUCAAGAGGUCACGGGUUCGAAUCCCGUCGGCUCC